AUGGAGGGGUUCAACUGUUCCAGAGUAUCUGAAUUCAUGUUACUUGGACUUACUGAUUCUCCUGAACUCCAGAGAUUCUUUUUUGUGGUAUUUUCUGUCUUCUAUUUAAUGACCAUGUUGGGCAACUGCCUGAUUUUGCUCACUGUGCUAUCCACCUCACACCUUCACUCUCCCAUGUACUUCCUGCUCAGCAACCUGUCUCUCAUUGACAUGUGCCUGUCCUCCUUUGCCACACCAAAGAUGAUUAUGGACUUUUUUGCUCUGCGUAAGACCAUCUCUUUUGAAGGCUGCAUUUCUCAGAUCUUUUUUUGCACCUCUUCACCGGGACUGAGAUUGUGCUGCUGAUCUCCAUGUCUUUUGACAGGUAUAUUGCCAUAUGUAAACCUCUCCAUUAUUCAACAAUUAUGAGCCAAAGAGUGUGUGUUGAGCUUGUGGCCGUUUCUUGGACAGUGGGCUUUCUGCAUACAAUGAGCCAAUUAGCUUUUACCCUCUAUUUGCCCUUCUGUGGUCCCAAUGUUGUAGAGUUUUUUCUGUGAUCUUCCUUUGGUCAUCCAGCUAGCUUGUAUGGAUAUUUAUGUUCUUGGGAUCUUCAUGAUUUCAACCAGUGGUGUGAUUGCUCUUAUAAGUUUUCUGCUUUUGCUCACCUCCUACAUCAUUGUUCUUAUUACUGUCAGGGACUACUCCUCCACAGGAUCCUCCAAGGCUCUUUCUACCUGUACAGCACAUUUUAUUGUUGUGUUAAUGUUCUUUGGGCCCUGUAUUUUCAUUUAUGUGUGGCCUUCCACAAACUUCCUGGUAGACAAAAUUCUCUCUGUUUUCUAUACCAUCUUCACUCCCUUUCUGAAUCCACUUAUCUAUACUUUGAGAAACCAGGAAGUGAAGACAGCAAUGAAGAAG
rnacentral:lncRNA from 1 species